rnacentral:rRNA from 1 species
GACGAACGCUGGCGGCGUGCCUAAUACAUGCAAGUAGAACGCUGAAGGAGGAGCUUGCUUCUCUGGAUGAGUUGCGAACGGGUGAGUAACGCGUAGGUAACCUGCCUGGUAGCGGGGGAUAACUAUUGGAAACGAUAGCUAAUACCGCAUAACAGUAGAUAUCGCAUGAUAUCUACUUGAAAGGUGCAAUUGCAUCGCUACCAGAUGGACCUGCGUUGUAUUAGCUAGUUGGUGAGGUAACGGCUCACCAAGGCGACGAUACAUAGCCGACCUGAGAGGGUGAUCGGCCACACUGGGACUGAGACACGGCCCAGACUCCUACGGGAGGCAGCAGUAGGGAAUCUUCGGCAAUGGACGGAAGUCUGACCGAGCAACGCCGCGUGAGUGAAGAAGGUUUUCGGAUCGUAAAGCUCUGUUGUAAGAGAAGAACGAGUGUGAGAGUGGAAAGUUCACACUGUGACGGUAUCUUACCAGAAAGGGACGGCUAACUACGUG